rnacentral:lncRNA from 1 species
UAUGGUAAUUUAAAUUCUUGCAUGGCAGUGAUUUAUGAUUUUUAAUAAUUAAUUGGGUCAUGCAAUAAAUCUGGAAAAUUUUGUGGGUGUUUCUUAUGAUAUUAUGCAAAUUGUAAAAAUAUGAAAUCUGUUGUUGAACACUUGUAUCCCAGUAGAGUGAUUUUACUUGCCUUAUUAAUUAAUCUUGUAAUUUUUGUGGCUCAAAAUAAGUAUCCAAAAAUCAUGAAAAAUUUACAGUAGACUUUAUGCUUAGCUGGUAGUCUCCUGUAAUUUUUGUGAAAUUUAUUGAUGAACAGAAUUGCAUUUGAUUUUUAAUGGGCUUAGAAAUGAAUAAAGAAAACUAUGAAGGGUGUAUAUAUAUAGGUUGAAUGGAAUAAGUUGGGUUUGGUGUAUCUUUGAAGCAUCAUGGGGGUUGCUGGUUGCAUUGAAAAAUAUCUGUAGAAGAGAAUGCAACAGAUGCUUAAUUUAGUUAUUGUUCCCGGAUGAUGUUGACUACCUUGUAAUAAGCAUGACCAAGUGCAUCACCUAUGCAUCAUAACAUGACUCCUUUGACACUCUCUCUUACAAGCAUCCACUCGGGCAUCUCACACUCCACUCAUGAGCAUAUAUGCAUCAUACAGGCUCGCAGGAGAACGAAGUGGGACCCGAGGAACCCGAGGAGAUACAGGAGCAGGAACCUCCGGAAGCACAGGAACCC